UAUCUUCUUGACAUUGAAUUGAUAUCAAUUACAUUAUUACUGACUACACAUGUCUAUUACUUACUCACAGAAUUUUUUUCAAAUGCCACAUCCCAAGUAAAUAUGGGUGGUAACUAAAAGGUAAUAACAAAAGUGUUGCCCCUUACAGCCUGGGGCAACUCAGUAGAAAAGGAGAAAUUUUCCAAAUACGUUGGAAAUUGUCUUCAUGAGAAUUAAAUGCACUAUGUAAUAUGACACAAAUAUGGUUGUCAGUUACAUUAUUAAUGAAACAUAUUUCGAUUUUUUUGUACUUACAGAGGUUGUUGCCAGUUUUAGACAACUUGAAAUGAACCAGGGAAACAACAGAGGCAAUGUGCUGAUUAAUUCAACACUCUAACUUUAUCCCUCCUCCCUUGGGCAGCUUUGGGCCAGCAACUUAUAAUAAUUUGUUGCAAAUGCUAGAUCCUAAGUAGAUAUGCAACAGCUGGGUUAGGUAUAGAACUUCACCAUACUUUUAACAGUAUACUUGUAUUGAAUGUCAAUCAAAUAAAUCAAAUCAAAUGUUCCUGUGCAUGAGAAA